CGAUGAGUGCCAUCGUUACGAUAUUAUUAUAUUUAUUCCUAUAAGCCACCUAAUAAGUAUGCAACCAGUUAUGCGUUCGUGCUUAGAACGGGUUACCUAGAUUUGUGACCAAAUAUAAUAGAAGGUUGGUACUACGCUUGGGGAAUUCUGGUCUUAGCUUGUGGCUGUACGGCUUCCGACGGAGGGGCAUGUCAUAUCGCCCAUCGGAGAGGAUUGUCACUUCAAUUUUCAAUCUGGUUGGAUGAACAAGUAAAUUUUUCCGUGGUCACUGUUUAAAGAAUACAAUAUUUAGUUAAAAUAUUCAUUUAUUAUAAGAUUGGUUUAUUUUGGAAGGAGCUAUUUUUUGUUUUGGAUUUGUGCGGUGAGAGGAAGAGUUUUAUUUCCAAGUUUCCUUUUGGAAAACAGUGGCCACGGAAGAAAAUAAGAAGAUGGAAAAUUAAGUCAAUCAUACUUUAAUUUGUUUUUUUGGAAUACAUAAUCAUUUUGGGGAUAUUUUGGAUGGAAUGUGGAUGUUUUGUUUGGUUUUUGUGGAAUAAAAGUUGAGUUUUCCGAUACUGGGCAGCUACCUGCUUGCCGUACCUUCCUGUUGGUGUGGAGUACCUCCCUAGGGUUGGGAACCAGAGGAUACCUUAUUUGGCUCUCCCCUCAUCAUCUUCACCGAAGGUUGGAAGAAGCAAUCCGCCUACUUUUUGUAGGGACAGGUUUUUAUAUAACUAAAUUUGCAUGUCAAUUUGUUUUAAUAAUAACUUCCAAUUUUACUAUU